AUUGAACGCUGGCGGUAGGCUUAACACAUGCAAGUCGUGCGAGAAAGUAUCUUCGGAUAUGAGUAGAGCGGCGGACGGGUGAGUAACGCGUAGGAAUCUACCUAGUAGAAGGGGAUAGCCCGGGGAAACCCGGAUUAAUACCGUAUACCUCCUUCGGGAGAAAGAAGGCCUCUCUUUGAAGCUUUCGCUACUAGAUGAGCCUGCGUAAGAUUAGCUUGUUGGUGAGGUAAAGGCUCACCAAGGCGACGAUCUUUAGCUGGUCUGAGAGGACGAUCAGCCACAUUGGGACUGAGACACGGCCCAG
rnacentral:rRNA from 1 species